GUGAGUCAUCGAAUCUUUGAACGCAAAUUGCACUCUCUGGUAUUCCAAGAGAGUAUGCCUGUUUGAGGGUUAAUUUAAUUAAAAUCGAUUGUGUUGCUUUUUGAGGUAACGCUUUCGGAAUUGAACCUUUCUUAACCUCCGGUUAAGUGGUUUAAAAUUUAUCUGGGCGAUUUUUAACGCGUACUUAAGACACGUUUUUUAUACGUUUUAAAACGCCGAACUUUUAUUAGAUAUGACCGUUCGGUUACAUGUCUAUAGCAUCAUUUCAUUUAUUAACCUCAAAUCAGGUAAGAUUACCCG
rnacentral:misc_RNA from 1 species